rnacentral:rRNA from 1 species
CACUCCUACGGGAGGCAGCAGUGGGGAAUAUUGGACAAUGGGCGCAAGCCUGAUCCAGCCAUGCCGCGUGAGUGAUGAAGGCCCUAGGGUUGUAAAGCUCUUUCACCGGUGAAGAUAAUGACGGUAACCGGAGAAGAAGCCCCGGCUAACUUCGUGCCAGCAGCCGCGGUAAUACGAAGGGGGCUAGCGUUGUUCGGAUUUACUGGGCGUGAAGCGCACGUAGGCGGACUAUUAAGUCAGGGGUGAAAUCCCGGGGCUCAACCCCGGAACUGCCUUUGAUACUGGUAGUCUUGAGUUCGAGAGAGGUGAGUGGAAUUCCGAGUGUAGAGGUGAAAUUCGUAGAUAUUCGGAGGAACACCAGUGGCGAAGGCGGCUCACUGGCUCGAUACUGACGCUGAGGUGCGAAAGCGUGGGGAGCAAACAGGAUUAGAUACCCCUGUAGUCCCA